rnacentral:rRNA from 1 species
GAUGAACGCUAGCGGCAGGCUUAAUACAUGCAAGUCGAGGGGCAGCAUGAUUGUAGCAAUACAAUUGAUGGCGACCGGCAAACGGGUGCGGAACACGUACACAACCUUCCAACAAGUGGGGGAUAGCCCAGAGAAAUUUGGAUUAAUACCCCGUAACAUAGCGAUGUGGCAUCACAUUGCUAUUAUAGAUUUUUCGCUUGUUGAUGGGUGUGCGGCUGAUUAGAUAGUUGGCGGGGUAACGGCCCACCAAGUCUACGAUCAGCAGCUGAUGUGAGAGCAUGAUCAGCCACACGGGCACUGAGACACGGGCCCGACUCCUACGGGAGGCAGCAGUAAGGAAUAUCGGACAAUGGACGCAAGUCUGAUCCAGCCAUGCCGCGUGAAGGAUUAAGGUCCUCUGGAUUGUAAACUUCUUUUAUAAGGGACGAAAAAAGGCUUUUCUAAGUCGUCUGACGGUACCUUAUGAAUAAGCACCGGCUAACUCCGUGCCAGCAGCCGCCGUAAAAC